UACUACAUCUAUCCCGUACUGAGAGGAAUACAUUUUUAUGAACUUGCUGAUCAAGUGCUCUGUGCUUAUCCUGACGUGCAGGUAUAGAGAAACCAUACGAACAGAGACAGGAAUUACUCAGAACAGAAAGGGAAGGAUGAGUUAUUGGGACAGCUGUCCCAGACGUCUGCUCGGUAUAGCAGAGAAAGGAGGGUCUAAGAGGAACAGAUGACAUCUCUUCCGCAUCUGGUCAGCCUUAGAAAUGUUCUUAAUUCUACCACAAGGCAGCCUGGAGAGUCUGAAAGCACAGCAAAUGGUGUGUUUCUAGCCCUGCUCUUACUGCUUCCUGAGCCCUCUCAGUGCAGGUGGGUAGGAGCUGCUCUGUGCUGGCUGGGGAAAUUGAGGCCAGUUUCUGUGGUGGUCUGGCAGAGCAAAGGAAAGAAGCUCCCCUUAAGUUUAACAGCACAUCUUGCCGUACUAUUAAUAUUAAUCAUCUUCUUUUCAGGAAUUUGUUUUGUUUCCUAUUGAGGUAUUUUGCCUUUGUCUCAGAAUGAUUUAAUUAACUUUAGCAAAAUAUGUUUUCUGAUUCACAGAAAGAAUCCUUUAGAAUUGACUAAACACUUGGUAUCAUUUGUUGGAUUUAUGAAAUAGUGUAUAUAACAAGUUAGAAAUGUUCAGGAAUUCUGAAUACCUAUAAAUAGAUCUUGGUUUUAAAGGACAUAUUCACCCCUUCCCCCCAACAUAGUAUGACCGCCUCAUUAACAUUAAGGGACUCACACCUUUACCAAAUCUUACAUAGCUAACUUUCCUGGUUAUCAAAUGCAAACUCACUCAGGCACGAGAAGCAGUGUAGCUAUGGUAGCCUAUGUCAGAGAAUUUUCCUGCUAACAGAAGACAGCUCAUGUGUCUCUGCAUUGAAUGACGGCGCUCAGCAGGCCAGGAUUUCUCUGAAGGACAAAAGGGGCUGGAUUCUCCUCCCUGUUUAGCACCACCCGUCUGGGUCAUGUGAGUUGAAAACACAGUGGCAUGACUGCAAAACAUCUUCAUGCAGAUCACAGAUGCAGUGUAGAUUACACUAGGAUUCUUCAGUGAGGUAUUUGGAUAAAUAAUUAAAAUAUGUUGAGAACAGAUUUUUACUGUUGGGGAUUUUCCAAUAACAUUUCUUCACAAGAUGGAGAAAACUCUUUUCCUCUUUAGUGUCGUAGAGUUGGAAAGUAUGCUCAACUAAUUUUGUUUAUUUGUUUCCAGAUAAACAGAAGAACAUAGUGUAAAGGUCACUUUAUUUUUCAAAUUUGAUUCAAACAGGCACCCAGUGUAGCAUCACUAGUAUAUUUGGCAUCUGUUAUUCAAAAUUUUUAAAGCACAGUCACAAACAGUGAAAUUAUAUUAUAGAAUUCAGACAAGGCAAAUCAUGAUGAAUUUUGAUCACUGUAUGUGUGAUGAUGCUUUGUCACAAAGGCCUAGAUCCCUGCAGGGCAUGUACUUCCAUUGAUUUCACUGGAAGUUAGGGACCCGAACAGUUUAUGGAUCUAUAAUAAUGCAAAGAAAACCUGCCUUUUCAACUAUGUCAUCUUAUUUGAAGCACUUUAAUUUCUGAUGACCUUAAUUGAAGCCCUGAAAUGUGCAAAUUAAAUGCCUUGGGCGUAAAGACUCACUCACUGAAGGUGUCAGGAUGCUCUAGGACUCUAUUCUCCAUUGCCUGAAAUGUUUUGUAUUGCUUAGGCAUGUGUCGUGGAUGUAAACUAUUAAUAAAUCUGAAUUCUCCACUUACAUCAGUGGUAACAUUUUAUGCACAUUUUGCAGACAUAUAAAUGACAACCAGUGGAAAUAUAGACUUUCAGGAAUCUGAUUUGCAGAGGUUUGAAGUUCUUUCCAUUCUAGCUGAAGCCAGUGAGACCAGUUUCUGAAAACUGGGUUCUAGAUAUUAAAGUCUGGCAGGCAAAACUGGGAUAUCAAAAAUUAGAUGCCAGCUCUGAAAAUGUAAUUGUAAGUCCUCUCACAGAGGAAGUCUGAGACAGAGUAAGACUAGAAUCUAAAUCAUCUGAUGCCCAGUCCUGUGCAUUAAGCACAGUACUGUUUUUUUAAUACUUGAAACUUGAAUACGGACUUUUUCAAAAAUAAAUGUAGUUUUCGAAACUCAUCCACAGCAUAUACAAAAUAAGAGUUUGACAUGAUUUGCUGAUGGUAGAAUUCUGAUAGCUGGAGUCUAUUUUCACCUCAAAUUUUCAAAGACUAAAGAGAUUCCAAAUCGGUUCACACUUCAUUGCUGUGAAGUUCAGCCCCAUAUGAAUAAAUGUCACUUUUAACAAAUUGCUUUUUUUUUUAACCAUUCUUCUUCAUUUUUAUGCAUGUGGCUAUUUUCAAUUUCAGCUUUUACAUAAUGCUUUUAUGUGAGUAUAUGCUUGGUCUCUGUAAAAGCAUGACUAUGAAUGCUGUUGUUUAGAAGAAAAAUAUCAUUACAUGCUAUUGGAUUUUAAGAGUAUCCCUUAUUUUGCUCUCUUUAAUAAGAAUACUUAGAAAAGCAGAAAAAUUCCAGAGGACAUGACACCUCAGGUAACAGCAAUUUGUGUGUAUUAUUUGACUAGUCUGUAUUAAGUUAUAGUAAGGACUGUGUGGUAAAAUAUGACCUGGAUUAAAUGAAGUCAUUGGUAAUCAAGCUAGCUCCCAUUUGUGUACAUAUAUAUGUGACAAUAGGGAUAUUGAAUUUAUGAUCAGAAGUUAUCGUCGGCAAGUGCAUUAUGAUAGGUUGAUAUAUAUCAAUUAUUAUGUAUUUAACUGCUGUUAUGUAUAGAUUUUAUUAAGAUGAAAUCCUGCAGUGUUUCACAGAUAUAAGUGAUUCAAAUUCCAGUAUAAAUUUGAGGUAAAGGUGAUCAGGGAAAAUCCUUCCAACCGCAAAUGGAGUGAGCCCCUGACAGUGGGACCGUGUGGGACCACCAAAUGAGAACAUGUAGGCAGCACUGUAUGGAGUCUGGCUGCACGUGAGGUUGAUGGCAAGGGAGAGUAAAUCAAAGUUAGCUUUGAAGUUUGUCUAUUACUGUAAUUCAUUUGAGGAAAAAAGGCAUCUAUACAUACUAGGAACUUGAAAGCAGAGACUUGCAGUCACUAAAGCAAGAUGAGGUAUGACCAUAGAUUUAAGGAUGCUUUGCGUCAUGGAAGUAGGGUGUGGGCGGACGGCCAGGUGCCUAGUAAAUAGGUCAUGUGCAAGAAUACUGGAGAGAUUCAGUCCUGGCUUGUAUGUUUAUUUUUAAGAGAAUUAUUGUCUGGCAGCGCAUGCUAUGUUGCUCAUAGUUGCCUAUUACACCUCACAAAUGAAAAAGUAUAGUCUUCCUGACACAUGCGGUAGGCAAGUAGAGAUAUUGAGAUUCUUGAAUACAUGAUAUGGUGGCUGUUAACAUGAAAAGGGAUUAAUUAUUUAAUUUAGAGAGAGUAAUGAUUUGGUUUUGAAUAAAAUGCACAGAAGACAAAAUGAGACAAGGCUACUUCUACUGGUUUACGCAGAGCAACCUCCCAUUUUAAAAAUUAUCAUGAUCUAAAAAAGUAAAAUUUUUGUAAAAGUCAGGCGGAGGUUGGGUAUGCACAGCAGUGGGAAAACAUCCUUUCCUCCUUCUUUAGCACUUUUGGACUUCCUUUCAGUUACAGUGCCCACCAUGAAGGAAUAACAGAAAUCAAGUAAAUUGCAGUGUUUAUAUUUAGACACUUUAACAGAUAUGAAAAUGUGGGGAUCUAAAAUAUGCAGAUAUAUCGAUUUGAUUUGCACUGCCGUUCUAUCAUUUUGUUUCAAGUUGGACAACAGAUGUAGCGCACUAAGGAAGUUUUUCUGUAGUAGUUUCAAGUAUUCUCUUGCUACACUAGUCAGAUACUUUUGUAUGAUGAUUUUUAUGCUUCCUUAGAAGGAGGAAAUUGAGCUCUCAAAUUAGAUAAUAACACAAUAGUGUGUGUUUACUUUGAUUCGAGUAGCCAGCCUCAUAAAAUGAAAGUCUCACAUGUGAAUAAAAGGUUGCAAGGCUGCAGCCUAAUAGAUUAUAUGCAAAGAACUGUCAGACGUCUGAAGUGAGCAAAGCAUAAGGCUGUCCUCUAAUUUCUUAAUUUUGGGAGUUUUGAUACCACUUGUACUUAAAGUUAGUAUUAAUCAUAGGGAAAAAAUGCAACCUUUCUCCCUUUAAUCUUUCUCCGAUUAAUCAACAUUUAUAAAUACAGUAACACGUUUCAGAUGUUACUAAUGUAUUUUUAUCUGGGGAUUGCUUAACACGCAUAAUAAAAUAGGUCUGUCUGCUGAAACACAGCAUAGUGGAAUGCGGCAUAGUGCUGCUUGAAAAAUUAAUCAUCUCUUUUUUGGAUUUUCAUUAGGUGUAAGUGCUUUAGAUAGCCAUGGAAACACAGCUGUUGGUAAGAUGGAUCAAACAUAUUGCACAGUUGAUCUACAUCCUAUCUUCUUACUUCUUGUGGCUAGUGUAAAUAUUUGUGUCUAACUAUUUUUGAAGAAACAUCCUUUCUAUGUGCAAUUGACUUUACAAGCAAAGGGAGUAUAUUAGGUGAAGCACUCUAAUGAGAUUGCUGAUUAGCCAGUGAAUGACCAGGGGUUUAGGACAGGAGGUGGCAGCCUUGAGUAGCAACUCUCUGCUCUUAUUAAGCGCAGCUCCUGGUUGAAAUAGGAGCUAGGCACAGAUAACUCAGUAUCUGAGCCCUUGUUCUUAAACACUGAAAUGACCAGCAGCUUAGUUAUUAAAGGUGGCAGCAGCUUGCUUUGUCCUUUUCGGCUGACACUUAGCAAAAUGUAACAGAAUUGUUUCACAGUUGCAAUGUGGGGCUAUGUGAGUUUUCUUAGAUUUUGAAAUAUUUAUACUAGUAUCUGUAGAGGGAAAGACUGCAGCAUAAUGGAGAGGCAGAAUUUACUCUGUCCCAUUCUCUUCUGGGUUUGUUUCUUCUUACAAGGGAAAAUCAAGUUGCAAACAAGAAUAAUCUCCAAUAAAAUACUGUACUGUUUUAUUUUAAUAUGUAUAUCAACUUCUGGAAGGGCAGAUGAUUAUCCAUUGCCUGGCUAUGGUCUAUAUGCAGAUUAUAAGGUACUUGUAUCUCCCUAAUGAACUACCACAAAGUAAAGGCAAGAGAACCUACCAUUGUUAAAAAUGUCACUGGCUGAAAUUUUCUAAUCGACACAACAGUGCAGAACCUUGCACUUACCCUGCCUCAGCAGAGAGGGGAACUUGAUGACAUCAUUGGUUUUUCCCUAUGAAAAUGCUUAGUUGGAAAAGGACAAAAAAAGAUUAAAUGAAUCACAGUAGUUACAUGCAACAUCCCACUUUUAAUCUUUUUGAAUGAUGAUCAAAAUGUAGCCAGGGGAGUUCUCUAGCAUUGCUUAUUUCCAGUGGGUAUUCACUGCAGAAAUGUUGCUUUUAACUUGUUUUUAUAAAUUUUGUAUAUUUGUUGAUUGAUUUUCCCUAGAGCCUCAGAUCUUAAAAAUAUGUCUUUUGGUCCAAAUUUCAACUUAAAAAUUUUUCAUUUUGUUUCUAGCCCUUGUGGUUGUGGGAAAAAUUUUUGUAACACAAUUUUGAAUGUGACAUAAAGGCUCAGAAGCUGGCGUGGGGAGGAAGGACCAAGUCAGUUUUUUGGGGGGCACGGUGUUUAAGUUGCAUUAAUUUUUAUUUCCUUUGUUAUUUUUUUGAGGGGCCUAAGAAUAGGCAUUUACAAUACUGUCUUUCGUACAAAUUGUUAAUAUGUGAAUCCUGUCAUGGAUUAUUCAGGCUCUGUAGCCCAGCUGAAAGGGUUAAUUGUGGCCAAGAAAGUAUGAGCAGUACUGAUGCAUGUGAAAAGCCUUGCUUUAAAAGUUUACAAAGCAGCAAAUCCUUUGAAUAGAAUCAGUUGCAGCUCUGCUUUACUCAGAAAAUAUACAUGUGUGUAGACUACGUGAGUAAGCCUCAAUCCAUAACAGAACUAAUUUCCCAUGUUUUUUGUCUGAGCCUGUAGACAUAAAAUAUUGCCUUUUUCUUUCCCCCUGUGGCUGGAAUCCUUUAGUUAAACUGUGCAUGCACAAAUCUGCCUGCUCCACGUAGACACAAUAGUCUACAUGGAUGGAUCUGAAUGCAAGAUCAAGCUAUGUGUAAUACUCAAGUCCUGUUAGCAGACAUUGUCAUGAAAACUGUUGUUUAGUCUUUUCAUUAAACAAAUAUGUGUUAAGUUUGCAUAAGCAGUCGCCCAGCCAUGGCUUCCAUACAGUCCUUUAAUAACUAACAGGGUGUGGUGAUUAAAUUUCCUCAGAGGCUUUUCUCCCAUCUGACUACCAAAGAGUAAUUUAUUCCUCAGUUAAGAUCAUCACUUGCUUGCUUUGUUUAUUCACCUCCUUCAUCUGUAGGAGAUAAGUCAGUGAAUUAAUAGCUGUCUUUUUAGUGCAUAAAGAGUGGUUCCUUGAGCCUGAUUCCCUAAAGAAAUAAGGCUUAUGUGAUCAUACUCUGUCUAUCCCAACAUCCAGUGCUAAUAAUGUGGAACCCCCUUGACCAUUUCAUUUAAACACAGCAGAGAGACACAGGAUUCCAGCCUUCCAGCUUCCUGUCAGUUUUAUGAAAAUGGGUUGCUGGGAGGGGGAGAGAGAUCCUAGUACUGCCUUCUGCUGAGGGAGAAUUUGCUGUGUGAACUCAUUUCUUACCAGACAACUGAAAAUUCAUUCAAGCUCCCCUCUGAGGCACAAAACGCCAAGAGGCCAGCCUUCACUGGUUGCGUUGCCGCAACUUACUCGUGUGGAAAUAACUCUAACUUGGGUGGGCAACACUAGCUGAAACAUGGCACAGGUAGGUCUUACGUGUCCUUUGGCUUAAUGGAAAUUCUGCAGUGAGAUGAUAGCUAUCACAAUGUAAAAACAUGCUUUUUCUUUGUACUGAAUAUGGGGCCAUGCUGUGCCUCUCAUAUGUAGAUGUGGCACUGGGAUACGGUUGUCGUGAGGGUAUUUCAGGUAACUCAGUCUUUAAACAUUCCUUUAUCAUUCUGAAGGCAAGGAAUGUGAUGUUCUUGAUGCUGAAAAGGGAUUAAGCACACACAAUUUCAGAGCUCCUGCAUAGAAAGUGGCAUUUGUUCAUUUAGAACAUACAUGCUAAGUUUCAGUUACCAAUAUAAAGCAAUUUUAGAUUUAUUUGGGGUCAAGAUGAGCACCUGUUUAUGUGUGUGUGUUUGUUUUUUAAGUAAGACCACUGAAACUGUGAAACAAUAUGCAAAACUUGCCUCUUAUACCUCCUCAGUACUGGUAAGCACUCUUAGCUGAAAGACUGAAUCUAACCACUGUUCUGUAUAUAAGUUUAAACUAACCUUUUAAUUUUCACUCAUUCAAAGUCAUGUUUCUGGGACUAGAGAAUGAGACAAAAAUAUUUGCUCUGUGAAAAAGUGCAAUAAUCCUGGGCCUUGUAAUGUGUGUAAUGCUGAAGAAAUAGGGUUUCCUCUUUUAGCUAGGUGGUUUUGGAGUCUGAAAGACUCAAUUUCUUUCAUUUCUUGAUUUUCUUAGGAUAACAGUAGUUGCAGUCUUACCAAAUUUGGAACACGGGCAGAAGUUUUAUUGCAGAUCCAGAUGCGUAGAGGAAAGAGAUUUCCCAUCCACAGCUACGUGGGUCCUUCUGGUAUCUACCUACUGACCUGUCAGCGCAGCAGGUUUUGCGAAUUCUCCCUAAUUCACGUUAAGCAAAAUUAGCCAGAUUAUUUUAAGAAGUUUAAAAUCCUGAUCUGAGAUACGCCAGCUGACUUUGCCUCACCUGAUUUAGCACUGCUCCCAUAAACUCUUCUGUUAGCACAUCUGAGGAGUGGUGAGGAACUUCUGGCAUCGUUAAUCCUCUCCACUGGCACUGCCAGAUUUAGAGGAAGACAUCUGUAUGCGACACGAAAGCUUGCUGAUAAUGCACAAGCAUAUGGCAGCAGCAGGCAAGACUUCUGCCUCCACAAAAAAGGCCUGAAUAUCCCAGCUCAAUAAACAGAAAAAAAAAAAAGAGAGAUCAUUACACUUCUACAACUUACACCAGUGAACCAUCUAAACUUACACUGAGGAAAGUUCCAGGUAGAUGAAAAAAGUGUAUUUGAAGAAGUAUUUAAGAGUUUGGGGCAUGAAGAUCUAUUCUGAGGGUGGAAAAAAGUCCUCAUUAAAUAUAUAUGACAGUUUUUAAGAGGAAUGGGCAGUUCGAGUAUAAGGGAUAACCUCAGGCUGUGAAUGGCAGGAGCAGAUGUUUAGGAAAUGCUAGUUCUUUGAAUGGUAGAAAAAUCUAAGAGAAGUGACCAAGUUGGUCCAUGAGCAGUGGAAUCACAAGCCUGGUUUCCAAUGGAUUUGUGUCUCAUAGUGGAUUCUUUCAUGGCUAGUCAGGGACAAGCUCUGAUCUAAGUUUUUCCCCUGGUCUUUGUGUCUGUCCUAGAUGGAUUGUCUCAUGUCUGAUAAGAACAGGGCUUUUGCUACCUCCUUUCCCGUGGCUGGACACACCAUUUGGAUCUCUCCUUCCUCGCUGUGCACUAAACUUUUAACAACUGUACUUCUUGAAACCUCUGUUUCUCUUUCAAAUUUAGUUGAAAACAGGCACUGGGUUCAGAAGCUAUUUGAGGAAGAAAUGAAGACAGUGGAAUAGGCACUCAUACACAAAAUAUGAUGACAGGUCUUUUUCUCUUAGGAAAUCGGAACAGUUAGAGAAGGCACUUCCCCCAAGCAUGGUGAUUACCCGCACCGACAAGGUCAUCUCAAAUUUGACUUGUUCUUGUUGGCACAGAAAGGGUGAACAGAAGCAGCACUGCAGUGCGCUUUCACUUUGUGGCCCCUGAAGCUGUUUUGUAGAGAGCUGGGGUACUAGUCUACAACGCUGUACUUUUGUGAGGGAUUUGUUAGGGUUUUUUUGAACUUUGUUAUUUAUUAGGUGAAAAUAUGUACAGUUAGAAUUCCAGAUGUUGGUCUAAACCUAUAUAUAAUUACAUUUUUUUAACUUUUUGGUUGUUGUUACUGAUAUAAUUCAUUUUGCUUAACCUGUUAGUCAUUCCAAGGUAAUAUAUACUCAUUUUUCUGGGUGGGAGCUACAGCUGGUAUGUAUGGGAAAACAAAAUCCAGUAACUGAUGCAUAAAACAAUCUAUCUAAGCAUGUACCUAGAUCAAUUUUAAUAGGUACCCUUUGUGAACCAUAACAAUUUUCUGUAGUUUUUAUCAACGUUUUUAUCACAUCUUCCUCCAAUUAGGCCAGAGCUCUAUUGUUUUGCUAAUGCUUUGGCUGACUUGAAAAAUAACCCUUCUUUGACUGUUUGAGAACCAGUAGCUGAAGCAUGGAGUAGUGGCAGGCUACUCUUUUGUCCCAGGAAAGGAAAAAAUGCUUAAAUGGAAAAUGAGAGACUAUCAGAAGAGCUGUUCAGAAUAAACAGCUGCAUGUUUUUCCUCUCUGUCUCAGAAAAAUUUGUUUAGCUCCAAGGAUGGUUUUGAAUAUGCUAGUUCAUAUUUGCUAACAUGAGCAAAAAAUUUAAUGUAUACAAAGGAAUGUGUACUGUGAAUUGGCCUUUGUAAGAUAAAAUGUAGGCUUCACGUAGAUCAUGUCAUUGUAUGUAAAAAGAUACAUAUGUCUUGCCUGCACAAAACAAAAAGGCUGUAUCUAUAUACUUAUCUAAUUACCAAAGUUUUCUCCACCAAACGCAAAAUAUCUUCAGGACAGGAGAAUCUGUGUAGGUAGGUACAAUAAAAUUACUUCUUUGCCUCUAUGAAAUUCUCUGUAAGAAUGUACAAGCCACUAGAGCCUGUAACAUAAUAGCGAUUUCAGCUAAAUGAACUCUAAAAUCAUGCUUCUAGAAAGGUAGUAAUGCCUGUAUAAAAACCGUAUGUAGACGAGAACCUAGUAUGUCUACUAAUGCAGUCUACCACCACAGCUGUUAUCCAAGGAUAAGGUCUUAUUAAAUCUGAGGAAGUUAGGUCCUGUUCACCUUUUUUAUAUCAUUGCUUUUAUUGCUCUGGGAGAUAGUAGACUUCUGUGUUCAGUUCCUGCUUGCCAGCAGUCACCUUGCAGAGUGUCAGUCCUACUUCAAACGGUUGCAGUUUAUAAUAUUGAACGAUACUGACGUAGCUAGGUUAGGACUCCCCUCUUUAAGGAAAUCAGGGUGGUGUCAAACCUGCCAAAUGACUCUUUCACAACACUGAUACAGGUUGCGUGACUGGAGUAUUCAACUGAUUCCUGCCAGAGCAGUGCUCUCACUGUCGUAAACUUGCACAGGCUCAGGUAGUUUGACCAUUCAGAUCUGUGCUUACAUGAGCUUAGCUAACAUCAGAAUCAGCUCCAGGACAAGAAAAGUUGUGGUGUUCUUUAGGCUCUUGGACCAUUUUCCUGCAUCUAACAUGAUGUCUGUCAGCAAGUUAGAACUGAGUCUUGCGUAUCAUCUAUGAGUUUGUUGGGUGUGUGCAGUAAAUAGGAGUCGUCUUCAAAGGAACUGCUUUUGGUUACAGACUGUCAAUGGCAAAUCCUUACAUUUGACCUUAGAAGCAUUUAAAAGAAAGAUACCUAUUCUCCUUUGUUUCUUGACAAUGUAUGAAAAAGGCCUGACCGGAUGAUUGUUAAGUGUGCGUAGAAAGUGUUGGCCUCUACUUCUGCUUCUCCUAUACAAAAAUAUUCAGAAAACAUCUAUGGCUGCCUGGCACAACAGAGCUGAAAAGGGUGGAAUUACUGAAUCUUAAAAAAAAAAAAAAAAAAUCAUUAUUCCCAAAUGCUAACCACUAAUGAGAUUAUUCCACAUUAUUCCUUACUCGAAAACUCAACUGUUAUGUUUUGAUGUUUUAAUUCCACUAGUGUAUAAUAUUCUUUUAGUAAGGACCUGGAUUUCUUAUAUAUAAAAGCAAACACGAGAAGACAAGGGAAUAUAAUUUGAAGCUGCCUUUAGAUACUCUGAAGGAUAAGUGCCCUCUUUUUGUUUCUAUUAACACUUUAUGUACCAGGUGGAUCUAGAUGAGCAGAGCUUGGGGUGCUGUCUGUGCUUAGCCUAGUGAGUGAACAGAGUGGCCGUCAUUAUGAUUUGUGAGUGGAAAAAGAUUUUCUGUGUGGCCUUGGCAACAGACAUAUGCAUUCAUGUUUGAAGGAGAGAGAUAUGAUUAUGGAAGCUGGAGACUGGAAGAGUGUUUCUGCUGUGUUUACCCUAACCUUAUAGUCUUCCCUUGGCACUAAGUCUUAGAAAGGUCGUCUGGGUCACAGAAAGCCAUAUAGUGUGUGACCCUGGCACCCCAGAGCAUGGACCAUAUCCAUAGCAGUCCUAGUUGUCCUCUUAGCAUGCUCAGUGUAAGUCACAGCAUCUCAGAUCAUGUUUGAGAGGAACACUCAGUGUUCCUCUAAGAAAUAAGCUUUACACAACGACAGCAAGCCAAGCAGGGGAUAGCCAGCUCAGUAUGCCUUGAAUAUCACCACAGGGUGCUUUGUAGUGGCAAAGCGGUAUCUAGCAAAUCUUAUUUCUGAGUGCCUUGUCCCUGUGACCUUUUCAACCUCAUAACAAAAUAUACAGUGAGGGAUGGGAUACUGAGCUAGGUGGGCCUUUGGUCUGACCCACUAUACUGCUGUUACGUGGAUGCAGCAGUUGUUUUGGGUAAGUCUGUUCUGUGUUGAUGUAGACCUCAGCUGGUUAUUAUGAAGGAAGAAGAGAACAAACAGAAGGGUUUAUUUAUUACCCUAUAUAUUCAAAAUACAGUCGGAUCAGUGUAGGAAUAAGGUUGGUGGAAAAAAAAGCAAUGCAUCUUUCAAAAAUACUUAAGCAUAUUGUCAGCUUAAAAAAUAAAAUUUUGUUAAUGUUAAUCACUGAUUUCAUUAGUGAAUAUCUAAGAAAAACUGGAAGUUACAGUUCAAGAACAGGAUGAUUUUUCAUUUUAUUUCUUUUCUUUCCUCCACCCCAUAUAUUUUCUCCUUGAAUUUGGCAAUGCCUUGUGUGCCUUGUGUCACUCUCUGGUCUCAUGCUUGAAAUACGACUUCAUCAUUCUGGACCAAUUUAUGGUGAAAAUUUAGCAGCAUUUUUGCUACAUAUGGGGAUAUUAACAAAGCUUAACAGAAAGCACAUAGUUUAACUUCUAGAACCCAGGCUAAAAUGAACAGACCAAACUAUUGAGACAGUAGAGUCCUAUGAUGGUAUUGUACACAGCUACGUGCUUCUUUCUGGAGAACUCAGAAGUAAUUGACAAAGUAAAACGAAUGACACUCUAAAUUUCAACCAUCUUGUCUUGCAAAUGGUCAGUAUUCAACAAAGAGAAAUAGGCACUCCAGAAAAUGAUUCAUUCCAUAAUACCCAUUUCAGGAUAGAGGAAAUAAAGCCUCAGAAGGAGGAAGGGUUGCUGUCUCUUAUAUGCAGCUAUCAUUGCAGUGUUUUUAAAUAAAUUCUAGUCUAAGAAUCCAACUUACUUUUCUCACUGAAAACAAAUGAAAAUAUAGUCAGUAUUUGCAAAUGCAAAGUUCUGCAGAAAUGGAAGUCAUUCUACCAUAUUUCAGCCUGCUCCACAGAGAGGCAGAGAAGAUUUCUUUUAACCUGUUUUUAAUCUACCCACUAAGAGCAAAGUGCUGAUGUGGCUCUGUGUUUCUUGGAAAUCUUCUUCCCCUUGCUAUUUCCUGUUGUCUUCUCAAGCCUGUGUAUUUCAGAUGUGAAUGGGGACCUAUACAAAAUCUCUUCUUGUUUGUAGUGGUAUAACAUGAAGCCUUAGACAGGUGUAGGUGUAGAUGGGUGUUACUUCCCAGGCUAAGGGAAUGGAAAGUUGAAAGCACAGCAGAAAGUCUUCUCAUUUUUGUUCUGAGGAUUCGGCCCCGGCUGCAUACACCCUGUGGUUAACAUCCAUAGCCAGACGCUGACUUUGCUUGACAGGUUCAUCAGAGGCCGCAUCCUAAAUCUCCUUCUCUAAAAACACCUUCAGCACUUUGCAUGACUUGCUGGUAUCAUCCUGAGAUGCACUUUACACCAGUCCACGGUGAGACAGCGCGUGCUGGGUUUCGCGGUGUUGGCGGGGACGCUUGGCACCUCUGUUCACACACCUCUGUGCUGCAGUCUGACGUUGAGAAGCUGUCUGCAGGCCAGACGGUGCUGCAGGAGAAGCAGACACUUGUGAACAGAAUUUGUGGCUGCAUUAAGGGAUGAUUAAAUUAAAGACAAGGCACUGCCAGUGUGUGCAUCUGAAUGAUUGUGGUGCUUCAGCGUAUGCUAGUGUUUGUUCACCUAUCUGAGUUUAUGGAAUUUUGUUUGCCUGUGUUUGGAGGGGGGAAUAUAUUGCUGCAGUGAUUUGACACCUCACCUAAGCGGCCUUAUUUCAAAGCUUUUCAGAUGCCAAAUGGAAUGAAGUGCUUUCCGAAUCUGUAAUUGACCUGGCAGGAACUGAAUGAUUGUCCUUAAAACCAUUUGUGCUUUCUGUUUGGUGACCUUGGCAGAUCAGUGACUGGGAAAGUUGUUCACAUGCCAUCUGCACCUGCUAGCUUUGCCAUGCAGCAAUAGGUCACUUCCUUUCCAAACAUGACUUGCUUCUGAUACCAGUGGGAAAUUGGCAGCUCUUAUAUGAAAGCAAUACAUUCCAGUUUCCUCUUUUGGCUUUUCGCUGAGAUAGGAAAGGAAUUGUUGUUGUUAUGGUCCCAGUGCCCUGUGUCAGAGCUCUCUUCCCUGCUGCAUAACUGCUUUUUCAGUCAUUGAAAACCAGUUUGUCUGUAGUAUAUGGCAUCAUAUCUUGUAAUGUUUAUUAUAUUAUGUUAUAUUGCCCUGAGAUCUUUUUUUCCAGUAUCAUGGGCUUAAUUCUAAACAAAGCUGCACAACCAACAGUGAAAAUAUUUCCCUUUUCUGUUGCCUCAGGGCUUGUGUUUCUUCCUCAUUUCUCUGAAGGAAGAGAGCAUAAAGUUGCUAUCUAGACCUCUGUGGUAGGGGUUAAAAAUCAACAUAGUGGGAUUUAAAUGUACUUUUCUGUCUAUUUCACUGUCAAAUGAAAAAGAUGAGCUGAAGGGGAGCUCAUUGUUCUUCCAGUUCUCUUCUCCAGAGAUGGUGGAAAGCUGUCACACCUUCUUCUUUAUAAGGGGUCCGUAAGUCAGCAGGUCAGGAAUCCCUGGAAUUGAGCAGCACACAGCCGGUUGCCUCAUCUCCUGUGCCUGAAGCAUCAGCUUUGCAGAGAACUGCAAAGGAGCUAUGUUGCUGACUGAAGGGGAGAAGAGAUGACAAGUUUUGUUUCGCUUCUUAACAGCAUGAAACAGCUGCAUUGGCUUUACAAGUGAUUCAAAGCUGUCGCCCUCCAUGAAAGCUAGGGUGAAUUGUUUAUUGUAUACAAUGUGUGUUUUUACAAUGUGCACUGUCAUCUUCUUCCAGUCAGCUACUGGAGAUCAAGGUAGGAAGGAUCAUGUGUUUCUGUCCGUGCUUUCAUGUGGACUUGCUAGUGAAACAGGGUCUGUCUCCCAUGGAUGCAUGCCAGACUGUCCUUUGGGAUAUAGUCCAACGAGUAGGAAAAGAAAAUAUGUUUAAACUUGGCAUAAUUGCAAUGAAUAUAAAGGGAGAAACUAGAGCUGCAUCGCUGAUGCCAUUUCCGUACUGUGUUUGCUCUCAGGAAAGGGAAUCCAUUGAUGAAUUAGUGCAACAAGCCCACCGGCCGUGAAAGAAUACUCCUUACAAAAAAUCCACGGGUGACUUCUAGGCCAGAUAGGUCAUUCCUCACCCUCAGUGGUAAGCAGUGCAAGCAGUCUUUGAGGUCUGGGGAAAACUGCUUGGUAUACCUGGAAAUCAGUCUAAUUAUUUAGGCAUCUAAAUACAGAAUUUUGAAUUUAACACUAUGCAUCUUAUAAACAAACAAAAAAGAAAAAUUAAUUUCAGCUGAAGCUAUUUUAGUCUUGAAUCAUGCUUUUCUACCACAUUUCAGUAAUGUGUGCCAUGCAUCUCAUUACCUUUGCUUUUCUGGGCUUUUUCUUUUAAAUUUUUCAGUCAUCGUACAGUGUUAUUUAGAUCUAACUCAGCACCCUUUCAUCAUGCUGAGUGGUUCCAGUGAAUAAUGGUUGUAGGACUGGCCUGCUAGUAAUUCAGGGUUGCUGUCUUUUAUCUUGAAAAUGAAAUACCUCUACUGGUAUUUGUCAGUGCAGGUCAGUGCAGACACAGUGCAAUCCUUUUUAAAAAAAGUUCAGCCAGUCAUUAAUACUUUGCAUUGUAGGAGACAAUUUCCACAUUUAACUGAAUCUUGAGUUUAAUAUCUUAAUUUCAGCUAUGUACAAUCCAGAUAAAGGAUUCAUGUCUGUACUCAUUUUGUACACACUCUUGAUACAGCGUUUGAAAGUCAGAUGAGCCUUCAAAAUUUGCAAGUGAUGAUCUGUAUAAGGUAAAAUGUAUUGCCUAUUUGUUGAUGCCUGUAAGCAUACCUAUUUCACUAAAGCAGAAGCUACAUUCAUUAUCCUGUAUGGACUAAAUGCUGAUGUGCUUCCUUCUCACAUUGUUUUUGCUACUGUGGUAGAGUUUUACCACUUGAAUUCACUGACUAAUGUUCUUGACUUUUAGGCAGGGUGAAACCUUUAUUAAUUUUAAUUUUUCAAAAUCUGUUACCCACUAAUCACAUAAGUAUACCAACAGUUGUAAAUUCUUUGCAAUAUUUCACAGUUCAAAAACAUUUUUAUUUUCUUCUGCAAAGAUUUUAUUAAACUGACCUGUACCAUCCUCCUCACAGGACCGUAGUGGUGUACCCUAGUAUCCAUGAUACAAAUUAGGAGAUUUGGUCUGAAAUAAUAGAGAUAAUAUGUAAUCCUGAACUGACAUCUGAAGGACUGGUUACAGGUCUGUAAGUCAGCCUCAGUUAGUAUAGUCAGUCCUGUGUUAGGGUCAAGAGUAAGACAUUUUACUCUUUUAACAAAUUAUCCAAAGCCUGAGCUUUUUUUUCAGCUUUUGUUACAUUUCAGGAUUCAUGCUGAAUAACAAUAAUAAAAGAUGAAUCCUAUCUGUUUUUCUCUUGAUUGUUAGUCUAAUGUAGUGUAUGACUUUACUCAAGGUUUAGUCUGCCAGCCAAGGAAGGCAUGCAGUUAUCAGCGUUACUGAUAGGAUACACCAACUAUGUAAGCUUAUUUUCAAAUCUUUCCAAAUCCCAUACUACUUACUGAAGUAAAACUCUUGAGGUGAAGUGCACCUGUUUACAGAGAAGUACAGAAUAAAAAGAAGGUAUCACUGA